rnacentral:rRNA from 1 species
CCCUUAGAUGUCCUGGGCCGCACGCGCGCUACACUGAGUGUCUGAGAUACGAGUCUGCCUGGUCCGGCAAGGUCUAGGUAAUCGCUAAAAGACACAUCAUGCUUGGGAUAGAUUAUUGCAAAUAUUAAUCUUGAACGAGGAAUUCCUAGUAAGCGAAAGUCAACAGCUUGCGUUGAUUACGUCCCUGCCCUUUGUACACACCGCCCGUCGCUACUACUGAUUGGAUGUUUAAGCGAGGUUCUCGAACUGCUAGCGACUUAGCUUCGGUGAGGUCGCAGUGUGGGAAGUGAACCUAGCUUUGGUGUCUAGAGGAAGUAAAAGUCGUAACA